GAGAAGAACGUAGCAAAAUGCGAUACUUGGUGUGAAUUGCAGAAUCCCGUGAACCAUCGAGUUUUUGAACGCAAGUUGCGCCCGAAGCCUUUUGGCCGAGGGCACGUCUGCCUGGGCGUCACGCAUCGCGUCGCCCCCCACAAUUCUCCGUAAAGGGAACAUGUGUUUUGGGGGCGGAUAUUGGUCUCCCGUGCUCAUGGCGUGGUUGGCCGAAAUAGGAGUCCUUUCGAUGGACGCACGGACUAGUGGUGGUCGUAAAAACCCUCGUCUUUUGUUUCGUGCUGUUGGUCGCAAGGUAAACUCUUUAAAAACCCCAAUGUGUCGUCUCUUGACGACGCUUCGACCGCGACCCCAGGUCAGGCGGGACUACCCGCUGAGUUUAAGCAUAUCAAUAAGCGGAGGA
rnacentral:misc_RNA from 1 species